UACAGAGGUGGCAAGCGUUGUUCGGAAUUACUGGGCGUAAAGGGCGCGUAGGCGGCCUACUAAGUCAGACGUGAAAUCCCCCGGCUUAACCUGGGAACUGCGUCUGAUACUGGAAGGCUUGAGGAUGGGAGAGGGAUGUAGAAUUCCAGGUGUAGCGGUGAAAUGCGUAGAUAUCUGGAGGAAUACCGGUGGCGAAGGCGGCCCACUGGUCCGGUACUGACGCUGAGGUGCGAAAGCGUGGGGAGCAAACAGG
rnacentral:rRNA from 1 species